rnacentral:lncRNA from 1 species
AAUUAAUUCAUGUCAUAAAAGUAUACACAGGCGUCGGAUGACAAUAAAUGUUCUAAAUAACAUUCUCUUAAAAAAAGAGAGAACUUUCUCUGAUGGAGGUGGAAGGUCAAGUCACCGGAACAGAUAUACUUGCAUGGGAGUUGUUAGGCAGAGUGGUCAAAAGGAGAGCGGUAGAGAAUCAAAGAAAAUUUAGGGAGUAUGUAAAAAUUAAAGGAAAUUAUCUGUGGUGUUUCAGCCAAAAAACUCCGCUGUUAGACCCUGCUGUCUGUCUCCACUGUUUCCAUGUUCUGUUGGCAUUGUCAAGCUUCACUACCCAUUCCCUUCACUGAAAAAGUCCAAGCCAAUUUCAUCUCUACUUGGAUCCAAUGUUGGAUGCUGCAUUGAAUUAGCAAACUAGCACCAAACUGAAUCAUUUGUACCAGUGAAUCUGAACUGAUUUGG